AUUGAACGCUGGCGGCAUGCCUUACACAUGCAAGUCGAACGGCAGCACGGGUGCUUGCACCUGGUGGCGAGUGGCGAACGGGUGAGUAAUACAUCGGAACAUGUCCUGUAGUGGGGGAUAGCCCGGCGAAAGCCGGAUUAAUACCGCAUACGAUCUACGGAUGAAAGCGGGGGACCUUAGGGCCUCGCGCUAUAGGGUUGGCCGAUGGCUGAUUAGCUAGUUGGUGGGGUAAAGGCCUACCAAGGCGACGAUCAGUAGCUGGUCUGAGAGGACGACCAGCCACACUGGGACUGAGACACGGCCCAGACUCCUACGGGAGGCAGCAGUGGGGAAUUUUGGACAAUGGGCGAAAGCCUGAUCCAGCAAUGCCGCGUGUGUGAAGAAGGCCUUCGGGUUGUAAAGCACUUUUGUCCGGAAAGAAAUCCUUGGCCCUAAUACGGUCGGGGGAUGACGGUACCGGAAGAAUAAGCACCGGCUAACUACGUG
rnacentral:rRNA from 1 species